CAAAACUGACCUUUAGCCUAAUUUGAAUAUUCCGGACACUUUUCGUGUUUUGACUUUUUCGAUCCGGAGUACGGUUUUUCCCGGAGUCGGUCCGGCGGAGUUUUGCGGGUAUUUGAAUUGUUGAUAAUUAUCCAGUUUGUCUCGAUAAGCGUGAAACUAGAUAUUUUGAUUAUUAUAUUAAUUCUUAUCUUGUAAUAAUUGCAAUGGGACCCGCAUACUAAUGACUGAUUAAAAAGCCCCGUUUUGAUGAUUAUCUUGAAAACCAGUACCGAUUGGACCCCGCUUUAUUAUAUAAAGCUAGUAAAUACGUAUUUUCAUGUCAUAAACGAUCCAAAGGGGUACCAAUUAUUUGUAAAUAUAAAUAGACUUUUCUAUAGCUGAUUUUCACCGUAGAAAUCAUUUUCACCAGUUUCUUUUCACAAAUACCGAGAGAAACCGAGCGGUGUUCUUCGUGUUCUUCAUAAUCAAACGAGGAUUUGAAGGUGUUAUCGGAAUCCGAUGGAGGCUUAUGAAUAGUCAAAACGAAGCUAUCGACGCGUAGAAUCAGGUUUAAGCAUCCGUUUAUGUGCAGAUUUUUCAGGUGAUUUUAUAUUAAUUUUACAAAAUUCGAGUUAUUAUAAUUUAAAUAGUGAAUUUUUGCAAACGUGAUUGUUUGAUUGAUUUGAUGAUUCCAUGUUGUAGAGCGUGUUUUUCUCGUCGUUUUGGUAUAUUAUAUAUCGAUUUUUGACUUCCGUAUCAUAUAUAAAAUUGGGUUUGAUUAUUGGGUUGUGUUCUUGAAUGUUCUUGAAGGAUUAUGAAUAUUUUCAAUCGGAAAUUGGGGGUUUUUAAUUCGCUAAAUCUGGGCUGUUAUGGCUUAUAUCACUGGAUAGAGCAUGAGGAGAUGAAUUUGUUCGUGUAAUUAGUUUAUAUGUUGGAAUUCGAAUGGAGUCGCCGGAGUCUGGAAAUGGGUCCGCCGGCGGCGGUUGUUUAUUUCGAUUUUACGGCCAACCCUUAGAUUUGUUACUGAUUUUAACGACUUGAACAUGAUCCUGGUAGUGUAUAGAGUGUUUCUGGAGUUUCUGGUGCAUGUUGGGGGGCGGCGGCGCCGUUUCCGGCAAAGCUAGUGGUGGCCGGCGGCAAAUUGCCGUUUGGCUACCCAACUUAUGAAGAUGGUGAAGUUUGAGUACUGAAGUUUCGAAUCUUACAAAACAUCCCCUGUAACUUUUGAAAGUUGCACUUUAAACCCUGGACAAAACUUUCAAAAGUUUACACUUUAAACCUUUGAUUUUAAUUUUCAAAAAUUGUUUUUAUUUAAUUAUUUUAAUUUCAAAAAUAGUUUUUAAUUAUUUCUUUAUUCAAAAAUAAAUCUAAAUUGAUUUAUUAAUUAAUUUUGAUUAGCAAUUAAUUAUUUUAAUUGGUCAAUUAAUUUAAAUAUUAAUUGAUUAAUUAAUUUAAUUAAUUAUUAAUUGAUUUUAAUUGAUUAAUUAUUUGGAUUUAAUUAUCCUUUUUGAUUUAAAAAUUCUGAAAAAUAGUUUCGAGCUUUAAAAUAUUUUUCCAAAUUAUUUUCAAGGCUCGAUAAUUGUUUAUGAAUGAUUUCAAGUCCAAUUUCAAGUAUUUGGGACUUGAUUAUUUAUCCGAAAAGUGAUUCUUUUAUCGAUUUUAAUUCCGAAAAAUGUUUAAAAAUUCCAGAAAAUUCCCGAAAAAUCAUUUUUAACCCAAGAGUUGAUUUGAUAUCAAUCGGGGUGGGAAACCUUAUGUGUAAUGUGUUGUCUGCUAUCUGUUUGAUGUGUUAUGUGCCGAUAGAGGAGUUAGAAAACGGUUUUGACCAUAUCUUUGGAUCCGUAAGUCGGAAUCAAGUGAAACGAAAGAGAGACAGAAGCUUAUAACGUUUAUUUUAAUAUGAUGUGAUUAUAUGGCUGAGUCUAUAAGGUGAAUAAUUGUUGAUAAGUAUGCAUAAUGUGAUAAUAUGUGAUCUAAGUGUUAUCAGGUGAUGAUUAUGUGAAGUACGUGUUAGUUUUGAUAUUGUGAAGUGAUAAAUGAUUUAAAUGACAUAGUGUCAUGACUUGACUGAUAUUGGAUAAGAAUAUAUGGAUUAUAGUGAUUGGAUGUGGUUGGUUGAUUGAUGAUUGAGAUAGGAUAAUAGGUGGAUAGUCUUAUACAUAGACGAGACGAUGUCGGAUUUUCGAUAAGGAUUUAUAUGAUAAUUGAUUGGUGAUAUGUUAUGUGGAAUAUGAUUGACUAUAUGUUAGAGUCAAAGCAUGCUUAUGUGUUACGUAGUAUCUGAUAAGUUUAAAGGGGUAUAUAAGUGGGUAUCGAUAUACGUGAUAUGUAUAUGCGAUAUAUUGUUUAGUGACUAUAGUAUUAUCUUAUUCUCGUAAAGGAUUUGGACGAGACGUGUACGCUCGAAGACGUCAGAAAGUCGAAAUGGUAUUGCAAAGCGAAUAAGGGAUGAAUCGAGUAAGCGAAGCGAUGUGGCGAAUAGAGUAUAGCUAGAGAUGGUCUAGAGAUUACGAGAUGCAUAGAUUGUGAAAGUUGAAAGAUGAGAAUGAGCUGUGAAACUGGAGUCAGAUUUAAGGCAAGUAUCCUAAACCUUUCUCUUGGAUAUAUUGCAAAUAUUCUGAUCCAUUCCUUUGGUAUAUGUUUCAAGUAUUCAUACCUUUCUUUUCAAUGUUCGAAAGUGCGAGUAUUCUGAACCAUUCUUUCUAAUCUUCAAGUUUCUAAAGAAUUUCCGUUUUACAAAUUAAUUCGAAGUUCAGAUUGUCAUUGAAGCAUGUGUUGCUCAGUGAUAGUUAGAGCUUUGAAUGAAUUGGGAUCUUCUUGAUUAUUCAACCCGCCAUUGUCAUGCUGGUUUAGCAGGCUAAAUUCAGUUGCUUAGCCGAUAAUGGAGGAUACUGAAUAGUUGAGGAUUUCCUGAACUGUGAUUUAUGAAAUGAUGGAUCAUGAUUUAUGAAUAGAUUAUUAUCAAAGUUUGAAUUGGAAUUAUUCUGUUGUUGAUGAUAUUUAUGAUGAUGUUCUGUUAAUUUACAUUGGCUUCUUGAAUUGAAUUAGAGAAUUGGAUUAUUGUUUUUAUAUAAACCUGUGGACCAGAUUCGUGGUCAUGUUAGGCCAAUGAGUGCCUUGGAUCCAGUGAUAGAGCAUGGCGGGGCCUGCUCGGGGUUAGUGCGGAACUGAUCAGCUGCCUAACCUUGGUUUUAAUUAAAAUGUGAUAGUCCAAUUCAAUAAUUCUUUGGAAAGAUUGAAUUUCUCAGUUUAAAUGCUGCAAGGUAUUGUAAAUCAUUCUAUACAAUACCAUGAACUCAUGAACUCAGGUUGAAUCCUCUUAUAUCUUGAACUCGUGAACUUCUGUUAUAUCAUUUCAGAACUAUCAUUGUUUAUUAUUACUUGCUGAGCAUUGUUGCUCACCCUUGCUAUUCCUUUCUAACCAUUUCAGAAAGGCUUAAAGAUGAGAUGAUUGAUUGAGAUUGUGAGUAAGGCUAAUGCUAGGCGAGGAGACAGAGUUGAGGAUCCAGUGGUCGAGGAGUGUUCAGGAAAGUUGAUGAGGUUGGUGCAAGCUGGAAUAGUUGACAGUGAUUCUUCUUAUCGAAGAUGAUCUGAUUUGGUAAGAGAUGUUGUGUAAUAAUAGUGGUAGAUUCUAAUUUCAAUACUGUAACCUGGAUGCGAUCCUGUUGCUUUUAG
rnacentral:lncRNA from 1 species